GCUCCCAUGGUCAAGCGGUUAAGACACCACCCUCUCACGGUGGUAUCAGGGGUUCGAUUCCCCUUGGGAGUACCA
rnacentral:tRNA from 1 species